rnacentral:rRNA from 1 species
AAAAGAAACUAACAAGGAUUCCCUCAGUAGCGGCGAGCGAAGCGGGAAAAGCCCGGGAUGAAAAUCUCUUCGGAGACUUGUAUUCCGUGUGUCCUUGGGUGGUCAGUGCGGGCAAGUUGUCUGGGAUGACGCGCCAUGGAGGGUGAGAGCCCCGUCCAACCCGCACAGGAUCCAUUCGUACGAGGACACUUCAAACUGAGUCGGGUAGCUUGGGAAUGCUGCUCUAAUUGGUGGUAAAUCUCAUCAAAGGCUAAAUAAAAGUGGGAGACCGAUAGCGAACAAGUACCGUGAGGGAAAGAUGGAAAGUACUUUGAAAAGAGAGUGAAAAGCACUUGAAACCGUCAUGGGGGAAGCGAAUUGCGUUAGUGAUGGAUUGGCCUGUUCAGCUCAAAAUAUUUUAUUGAGUGUAUUCUGGCUUUUCCGCGCUUGUGUGGCUGGUGCGAGUACAAGGAGGGUGUGAAUGGGGGAAUUUUUGUUUUUCUGUUCUACAUCAUUUGUCGGUACUUUGCGCUGGUGAGGGCUCCCCGCAAGGGUGAGGACACGAGCGAAAUGACGCAAUACGACCCGUCUUGAAACACGGACCAAGGAGUCUAGCACGGCUGCGAGUCGAAGGGUAAUUUUUUUAUGAAAAACCUAGAGGGCGCAGUGAAAGCAACUAUGUUGGAGCAAUCUAACGACAAAGCAAAUUGGGGAGGCGUUGCGGUUUUACCAACAUGUCCUACCUUGAGCAUCUGUGCUGGGACCCGAAAGAUGGUGAACUAUGCCGGAGUAGGGCAAAGCCAGAGGAAACUCUGGUGGAGGCUCGUAGCGAUGCUGACGUGCAAAUCGCUCGUCGAACUUGGGUAUAGGGGCGAAAGACUAAUCGAACCAUCUAGUAGCUGGUUCCCUCCGAAGUUUCUCUCAGGAUAGCGGGCCGACACAUUUUUUUUUAAAAGUUGUUUUGUGCGGUAAAGCGAAUGAUUAGUGCAUUUGGGGGCCGAAGGCCUUCAGGCGAUUCUCAAACUUUAAAUGCGCAAGGGGGCGGCUGCUUAAUUUGAGCCUGCUCUUCGAAAAACGUCGGCUCCGUGGGCCACUUUUGGUAAGCAGAACUGGCGAUAAGGGAUGAACCUUAAGCGCGGUUAAGGCGCCGCAUUGCCCGCUUAUAGACCCCACAAAAGGUGUUGAUUCAUAUAGACAGCAGGACGGUGGCCAUGGAAGUCGGAAUCCGCUAAGGAGUGUGUAACAACUCACCUGCCGAAUGAAUUAGCCCUGAAAAUGGAUGGCGCUGAAGCGGGCAGCCGACACCGCGCCGUUCAGGCGAGACAACAUGUCUGAAUGAGUAGGAGGGCGUGGCGGUCCGUGACGCAGGCGAGGGUGCAAACCCCGCUGAAACGGCCGCUAGUGCAGAUCUUGGUGGUAGUAGCAAAUAUUCAAGCGAGAUCCUUGAAGGGCGAAGCGGGGAAGGGUUCCAUGCGAACAUUGAUUGGGCGUGGGUGAGUC